UCGAGGGGCAGCGGGGGAGUAGCGAUACUCCCGCCGGCGACCGGCACACGGGUGAGUAACACGUAUGAAACCUGCCCGUAGCAGGGGGAUAAGCGGAAGAAAUUCCGUCUAAUACCGCGUAACAACCCAUGGAGGCAUCUCUGUGGGUUUAAAGGAAGCGAUUCCGGCUACGGAUGGUCAUGCGUCGCAUUAGCUUGUUGGCGGGGUAACGGCCCACCAAGGCGACGAUGCGUAGGGGUUCUGAGAGGAAGGUCCCCCACACUGGUACUGAGACACGGACCAGACUCCUACGGGAGGCAGCAGUGAGGAAUAUUGGUCAAUGGCCGCAGGGCUGAACCAGCCAAGUCGCGUGAGGGAUGACGGUCCUAUGGAUUGUAAACCUCUUUUGUCAGGGAGCAAAGGGCGCCACGUGUGGCGCUUUGCGAGUACCUGAAGAAAAAGCAUCGGCUAACUCCGUGCCAGCAGCCGCGGUAAUACGGAGGAUGCGAGCGUUAUCCGGAUUUAUUGGGUUUAAAGGGUGCGCAGGCGGAAUGUCAAGUCAGCGGUAAAAUUUCGGGGCUCAACCCCGUCGUGCCGUUGAAACUGGCGUUCUUGAGUGAGCGAGAAGUAUGCGGAAUGCGUGGUGUAGCGGUGAAAUGCAUAGAUAUCACGCAGAACUCCGAUUGCGAAGGCAGCAUACCGGCGCUCAACUGACGCUCAUGCACGAAAGCGUGGGUAUCGAACAGGAUUAGAUACCCUGGUAGUCCACGCAGUAAACGAUGAAUACUAACUGUCCGGGCAGAAUGAUGCCUGGGUGGUACAGCGAAAGCGUUAAGUAUUCCACCUGGGGAG
rnacentral:rRNA from 1 species